AUGUUUAGAGAAAACAAAUUAGGGCCGGAUGUACGAGGGGCAUUAACGAAGAAGAGGGGAAAAGGAAAUACAAGGGUGAUUCCGGAUGGUAAUGUGGCGGAGAUGGAGGCAGCAAUGCUUGAUGGAGAUGAUGGAAGACGAGCUGAAGGUGGUGGAAAUCGAGAGGCGAAGGGGAUUGUAAUGAAUGGAAGUUUGGACUGGGAAGAUGAAGAGGAAUUGUUUUUUUUUUCUAAUUUUUUUGUUACAAAAAUAACAGCGAAACAGUAG